rnacentral:rRNA from 1 species
AUUGAACGCUGGCGGCAGGCCUAACACAUGCAAGUCGAGCGAGCGGAGGAAGGGUGAGGAAUGUAUGGGGACUGCCCGAUAGAGGGGGAUCACUACUGGAAACGGUAGAUAAUACCGCAUACUAUCGGAUAACCCAUAUGGGAUUAGCUAGUAGGUGAGGUAAUGGCUCACCUAGGCGACGAUCCCUAGCUGGGCUGAGAGGAUGAUCAGCCACACUGGGACGGAGACACGGCCCAGACUCCUACGGAGGCAGCAGUGGGGAAUAUUGCACAAGGGGCGAAAGCCUGAUGCAGCAAUGCCGCGUGAAUGAAGAAGGCCCUAGGGUUGUAAAGUACUUGCAGUCGGGAGGCGUUACCGACAGAAGAAGCACCGGCUAACUCCGGGCCAGCAGCCGCGGUAAUAC